UGUAAACACCACACUUAACCCUAGUUAAACAUUUAAACUACUUUAACUCAGGUUAAACACUUAAACUAGAGGCACUCAACCGGACAAACCACUGAAAAUGUUUCAGACUCUCUUUCAAACUCUCUCUCACCAAACCCAUAUGAAAAUUUCAAACUCUCUUCUCCAAGGAUUUUCUCUCUGCAUCCCACGUUCCUCAGUGUCGCCGGUGCCACCAGCCAUCGUGCCAAGCCACCGUUGUUGCAUGGGCUAUGUCUUACACCAACCUAGCAUCAGCGGAAAGUGCCGCCCACUUGCAGGCAUAGGCACUACCCAGCAUCACCGGACUGCUCCGCUAGAACAGUCACUGCCUACUUUUGGUUUUGAGCUUGGUGGGGUGUUUCAGAUUUGGGGGAUUUAUGGAUUGUUUUGAUCUAAAUUUGUUCUAAAAGCAAUGGGAUUUAUGUUUUGAUCUCUGUGUUUGUGAAAGAACCAUGUACUCCUCGAGAGGGAGCAAUGCGUUUGGGCAGCAACCGUAUGCGGCUCAAUUGGCUGUGUAUGGCGCUAGUAAAAUGAGUUGAAGCAGCUAGCAGCCAUCUAUUAAAAGUCUGAAGAGAAGGGUACAGAGCAGUGGUGACAUAAUCAAGCUCGACAUAAUCAAGCUCAUCCUUGUACCCCCUCCUUCGUGGUAGAUGGAAUAUGGAAUUUAAGAAACAGAGCUGUUUUCCAAGGCGAGAAAGUUAACAUUCGUGAAGCCUGCUUGCGGAUUCAAAGCAGAAUCAUAGAGUUCCGUACUGUAAUCCAGGCAGCCAACAAAGCUCAUUGCGCAUCUUCAUCCCAGGUUUGGAAGCCACCCUUGACUAGGUUCGUCAGGCUAAAUGUGGAUGCUGCAACUGGACCAUCAAGAACUGCACUAGCAGUAGUAGCAAGGAACUCCCUCGGCGAGGUGAUCAAAGUUUGGGCUAAACCUCACCAUAGCUGCACCCCCAUCCAAGUAGAAGCAAGUGCAAGGCAGUCAACCUAGCCUCUAAUGAAGGGUGGAAACAAGUAAUCAUAGAGAGCGAUUCCAAGAUGUGUAUGGAUUUACUGUCUGACAAUCCUUUUGUGCCUAACUGGGCCAUCAGCAAUGAUAUUGUUAAUAUCCUAAACUCUGCAUCAGUUUUUCUUAGUUACUCUUUUGUUUGGGUCCGUAGGUCUUGUAAUUUUGCAGCACAUAAUGCUGCAAAGCUAGCUUUGAAUUCUGCAUUACCUUUGUGAUUUGACAAGGAGAAUCUACCUGAGGUUAUCCUCUUUGCUUGUGUGGUAGACUCCUAUGCUGUAGUAUCUUCUUUUUCGUAUGAAUGACAUUGAAGUUUAGCAAAAAAAAAAAAAAAAAAAAAA